AUGGUUAGGCAAGAAAUCUGUGACACUAGCCAUCAUGACCAUCUUAAACCAAAGGAAAAAAUGUCCCCAUCUUUGAAAAAUGUUUGUAAAGGAAUUCACAAAUACUAUACCAGAAGGGUAGCUGACACGUUGACCCUGAGAAAGAAACAACUAAGUUCUAGGAGGCAAGUAAAGAAAAAUUAGUAUAGAAGUAUCUCACAAUGUCUUUUACAGUAAAUUCACUUGGCAUAUAAUUUUCACCAGUCAUGUCACAUGCAUAAACUAACAGGCAGUGAAAAAGCAUUCACACACCCAGAGAUUAUUUAUCCUUUUAUUCAUUCAUGCACCAAUUAUUACCGAACCCUACUGUGUGCCAGACAUUAACUACUCUAGAUGCCUGAGAGCCAAAUAUCAAAAUCCCAGCCCUCUCAAGAGCUUCCGUUCUAAUGAACAUACAACGAGAAAGGCAGAGAUUGUA
rnacentral:lncRNA from 1 species